rnacentral:rRNA from 1 species
UACAGAGGUCCCAAGCGUUGUUCGGAUUCACUGGGCGUAAAGGGUGCGUAGGUGGUGAGGUAAGUCCGAUGUGAAAGCUCCGAGCUCAACUCGGAAAUUGCAUUAGAAACUACCUUGCUAGAGGGUUGGAGGGGGACUGGAAUUCUCGGUGUAGCAGUGAAAUGCGUAGAUAUCGAGAGGAACACCAGUGGCGAAGGCGAGUCCCUGGACAACUCCUGACACUGAGGCACGAAAGCUAGGGGAGCAAACAGG